rnacentral:rRNA from 1 species
UUUAUGGAGAGUUUGAUCCUGGCUCAGGAUGAACGCUGGCGGCGUGCCUAAUACAUGCAAGUCGAGCGAACGGACGAGAAGCUUGCUUCUCUGAUGUUAGCGGCGGACGGGUGAGUAACACGUGGAUAACCUACCUAUAAGACUGGGAUAACUUCGGGAAACCGGAGCUAAUACCGGAUAAUAUUUUGAACCGCAUGAUUCAAAAGUGAAAGACGGUCUUGCUGUCACUUAUAGAUGGAUCCGCGCUGCAUUAGCUAGUUGGUAAGGUAACGGCUUACCAAGGCAACGAUGCAUAGCCGACCUGAGAGGGUGAUCGGCCACACUGGAACUGAGAC